rnacentral:lncRNA from 1 species
GCUGCAGAAGGCCUGGGCCACAGCCUCAUAUUCCUAAAUGACUUGCUCUUGGAUAUCCAACUCCAGAUGGGGCUGCAUGGUGGGUCUCCCCAACAGCAGAAACAGUCUUGCUAGGGUUGCAGCAAGAGUGAUACAGUUCUGGAGCUUCCCCUGCUCGCUCAUUCCUACAAGUAAAUUAAAGCCGCCCAUGCCAAGCACUGGGCGCACAGGUGGGAAGAAGGCAGAGCAGGCGGCUUCUGUGGGAUUUGUGUUCUGUGGGGCCCAUGGUCUGCAGGUGGCCCUCGCAACUGUGGGUAAACACUUAGGUGAAUGCCCGAACACUUAGCAGUCUCAUUUUCCAUUAGAUAACAGGUUUGUUUUAUUUACUGCUACACACUUGGAAAAUAGCACGAAGUGAAAAUACGUCCACAUAAAGACCUGUGCACAGGUAUUU